rnacentral:rRNA from 1 species
GAUGAACGCUGGCGGCGUGCUUAACACAUGCAAGUCGAACGGUGAAGCAGAGCUUGCUCUGUGGAUCAGUGGCGAACGGGUGGGUAACACGUGAGCAACCUGCCCCUGACUCUGGGAUAAGCGCUGGAAACGGCGUCUAAUACUGGAUAUGAGCUGCGACCGCAUGGUCAGCAGUUGGAAAGAUUUUUCGGUCUGGGAUGGGCUCACGGCCUAUCAGCUUGUUGGUGAGGUAAUGGCUCACCAAGGCGUCGACGGGUAGCCGGCCUGAGAGGGUGACCGGCCACACUGGGACUGAGACACGGCCCAGACUCCUACGGGAGGCAGCAGUGGGGAAUAUUGCACAAUGGGCGAAAGCCUGAUGCAGCAACGCCGCGUGGGGGAUGACGGUCUUCGGGUUGUAAACCUCUUUUAGCAGGGAAGAAGCCAAAGUGACGGUACCUGCAGAAAAAGCGCCGGCUAACUACGUG